GAUGAACGCUGGCGGCGUGCCUAAUACAUGCAAGUCGAGCGAACAGACGAGGAGCUUGCUCCUCUGACGUUAGCGGCGGACGGGUGAGUAACACGUGGAUAACCUACCUAUAAGACUGGGAUAACUUCGGGAAACCGGAGCUAAUACCGGAUAAUAUAUUGAACCGCAUGGCUCAAUAGUGAAAGACGGUUUUGCUGUCACUUAUAGGUGGAUCCGCGCCGCAUUAGCUAGUUGGUAAGGUAACGGCUUACCAAGGCAACGAUGCGUAGCCGACCUGAGAGGGUGAUCGGCCACACUGGAACUGAGACACGGUCCAGACUCCUACGGGAGGCAGCAGUAGGGAAUCUUCCGCAAUGGGCGAAAGCCUGACGGAGCAACGCCGCGUGAGUGAUGAAGGUCUUCGGAUCGUAAAACUCUGUUAUUAGGGAAGAACAAAUGUGUAAGUAACUAUGCACGUCUUGACGGUACCUAAUCAGAAAGCCACGGCUAACUACGUG
rnacentral:rRNA from 1 species